rnacentral:rRNA from 1 species
CACAGAGGGUGCGAGCGUUGUUCGGAAUUAUUGGGCGUAAAGGGCGCGUAGGCGGUGCGGUAAGUCACCUGUGAAAUCUCCUGGCUCAACUGGGAGCUUGCAGGCGAAACUGCCGUGCUGGAGUGUGGGAGAGGUGCGUGGAAUUCCUGGUGUAGCGGUGAAAUGCGUAGAUAUCAGGAGGAACACCUGUGGCGAAAGCGGCGCACUGGACCACAACUGACGCUGAGGCGCGAAAGCUAGGGGAGCAAACAGG